rnacentral:tRNA from 1 species
UCCCUGGUGGUCCAGUGGUUAAGGCUCCUUGCUUCCACUGCAGGAGGCACAGGUUCAAUUCCUGGUCUGGGAA